rnacentral:rRNA from 1 species
CCUACGGGAGGCUGCAGUAGGGAAUCUUCCACAAUGGGCGAAAGCCUGAUGGAGCAACGCCGCGUGGGUGAAGAAGGUCUUCGGAUCGUAAAACCCUGUUGUUAGAGAAGAAAGUGCGUGAGAGUAACUGUUCACGUUUCGACGGUAUCUAACCAGAAAGCCACGGCUAACUACGUGCCAGCAGCCGCGGUAAUACGUAGGUGGCAAGCGUUAUCCGGAUUUAUUUGGCGUAAAGGGAACGCAGGUGGUCUUUUAAGUCUGAUGUGAAAGCCUUCGGCUUAACCGGAGUAGUGCAUUGGAAACUGGGAGACUUGAGUGCAGAAGAGGAGAGCGGAACUCGAGGUGUAGCGGUGAAAUGCGUAGAUAGAUGGAAGAACACCAGUGGCGAAAGCGGCUCUCUGGUCUGUAACUGACGCUGAGGUUCGAAAGCGUGGGUAGCAAACAGGAUUAGAUACCCUUGUAGUC